rnacentral:rRNA from 1 species
UACGAAGGGGGCUAGCGUUGUUCGGAAUUACUGGGCGUAAAGCGUGCGCAGGCGGCUUCCCAAGUCAGUGGUGAAAGCCCGGAGCUCAACUCUGGAACUGCCUUUGAUACUGUCGAUCUGGAGUAUGGAAGAGGUAAGUGGAAUUCCGAGUGUAGAGGUGAAAUUCGUAGAUAUUCGGAGGAACACCAGUGGCGAAGGCGGCUUACUGGUCCAUUACUGACGCUGAGGUGCGAAAGCGUGGGGAGCAAACAGG